AUAUCUCUCUGUACGGGAAGGAUGAGAAGCUUCGACUAAGGUUCGAUUCGAGCGAAAGCGAGAAAGCGUUGCCAACGGCAACGACCCGAAGGGCGAAGCGCGCAGCGCUGAG
rnacentral:sRNA from 2 species